rnacentral:rRNA from 1 species
UACGUAGGGGGCUAGCGUUGUCCGGAUUUAUUGGGCGUAAAGAGCGUGUAGGCGGCCAGGUAGGUCCGUUGUGAAAACUCGAGGCUCAACCUCGAGACGUCGGCGGAAACCAUUUGGCUAGAGUCCGGAAGAGGAAAGUGGAAUUCCUGGUGUAGCGGUGAAAUGCGCAGAUAUCAGGAAGAACACCCGUGGCGAAGGCGGCUUUCUGGGACGGUACUGACGCUGAGACGCGAAAGCGUGGGGAGCGAACAGG